rnacentral:rRNA from 1 species
UGGCUCAGAACGAACGCUGGCGGCGUGCUUAACACAUGCAAGUCGAACGAUGAAGCCCUUCGGGGUGGAUUAGUGGCGAACGGGUGAGUAACACGUGGGCAAUCUGCCCUUCACUCUGGGACAAGCCCUGGAAACGGGGUCUAAUACCGGAUACAACCACUGACCGCAUGGUCGGGUGGUGGAAAGCUCCGGCGGUGAAGGAUGAGCCCGCGGCCUAUCAGCUUGUUGGUGAGGUAAUGGCUCACCAAGGCGAGGGCAAGUAGCCGGCCUGAGAGGGCGACCGGCCACACUGGGACUGAGACUCGGCCCAGAGAAAUACGGGAGGCA